GAAGGACGUGCUUGCAAGUCAAGGAUCAUCAGUUGCUUCGGAGGCAGCUUUCAGCGCGACAAGAUUUCAAAUUGGAGACCACAGAUACUCGUUAGCAGAAGACAGUUUGGAGAUAUCGGUGUUGUUUAGAGAUUGGAUAAAUGCUGAGCGGAGAAAUCAAGGACUUCCAAAGUUGGAUAGUCAAUUUGAACUUUUCAUAGAUUCAGCCAUUGGAUGUGGUAGUGACUUGAGCAGAGAAAUCAAGGACUUCCAAAGUUGGAUAGUCAAUUUGAACUUUUCAUAGAUUCAGCCAUUGGAUGUGGUAGUGACGAUGGCAUGGAACUUCAAGAUCGUCAACGAGCUUUACCAAGACCAGUAGUUGAUUACGGUCAAUCUAUAGCUGAGUUAGAGAAAGGAUUUACGGGACUAUACAACUAUUAGUAUUACAUUUGAGGCUUAGUUGAAACAGAACCCUUCCUAGAAGGUGGCUGCGUAAACUAUGCACUCUACUAAUAGUUGUAAAUUGUAAUUUGCAAUACAAAUUUAAAUAAAUUGGAAUAUUGGAUUGAUAUUUCUUAAUUUGUGACUUUGUGACUUUGUGUCAUUGUUUUAUCCUUAUUUUUAUUUAAUUUUUUAAAAUUACAAACUUAAGUUAUUUAAAUUACAAGUUAUAAAUAUAACUUAUAAGUUAUAACAUAUUAAUAAGUAAUAAC
rnacentral:lncRNA from 1 species